rnacentral:rRNA from 1 species
CCAAAGCUGGCGACCGGCGCACGGGUGAGUAACACGUAUCCAACCUGCCUCAUACUCGGGGAUAGCCUUUCGAAAGAAAGAUUAAUAUCCGAUAGCAUAUAUUUCCCGCAUGGGUUUUAUAUUAAAGAAAUUCGGUAUGAGAUGGGGAUGCGUUCCAUUAGUUUGUUGGCGGGGUAACGGCCCACCAAGACUACGAUGGAUAGGGGUUCUGAGAGGAAGGUCCCCCACAUUGGAACUGAGACACGGUCCAAACUCCUACGGGAGGCAGCAGUGAGGAAUAUUGGUCAAUGGACGCGAGUCUGAACCAGCCAAGUAGCGUGAAGGAUGACUGCCCUAUGGGUUGUAAACUUCUUUUAUAUGGGAAUAAAGUGGUCCACGUGUGGAUUUUUGUAUGUACCAUAUGAAUAAGGAUCGGCUAACUCCGUGCCAGCAGCCGCGGUAAUACGGAGGAUCCGAGCGUUAUCCGGAUUUAUUGGGUUUAAAGGGAGCGUAGGCGGAUUGUUAAGUCAGUUGUGAAAGUUUGCGGCUCAACCGUAAAAUUGCAGUUGAUACUGGCAGUCUUGAGUGCAGUAGAGGUGGGCGGAAUUCGUGGUGUAGCGGUGAAAUGCUUAGAUAUCACGAAGAACUCCGAUUGCGAA